rnacentral:rRNA from 1 species
AUACGUAGGGUGCGAGCGUUGUCCGGAAUUACUGGGCGUAAAGAGCUCGUAGGUGGUUUGUCGCGUCGUCUGUGAAAUUCCGGGGCUUAACUCCGGGCGUGCAGGCGAUACGGGCAUAACUUGAGUACUGUAGGGGAGACUGGAAUUCCUGGUGUAGCGGUGAAAUGCGCAGAUAUCAGGAGGAACACCGGUGGCGAAGGCUGGUCUCUGGGCAGUAACUGACGCUGAGGAGCGAAAGCAUGGGUAGCGAACAGGAUUAGAUACCCUGGUAGUCCAUGCCGUAAACGGUGGGCGCUAGGUGUAGGGGUCUUCCACGACUUCUGUGCCGUAGCUAACGCAUUAAGCGCCCCGCCUGGGGAGUACGGCCGCAAGGCUAAAACUCAAAGGAAUUGACGGGG